rnacentral:rRNA from 1 species
GGUCUGAUUCUGGCUCAGAUUGAACGCUUAUGGGAUGCUUUACGCAAGUCGAACGGCAGCACGGACUUCGGACCGGUGGCGAGUGGCGAACGGGUGAGUAAUGUAUCGAACGUGCCUAGUAGCGGGGAUAACUACGCUGAAAGCGUGAAGCCACACACCCGCAUACGCCCUUCGGGGGAAAGCGGGGAACUCCCGCCGGCUCCGCACUAUUAGAGCAACAUAUCGGAUUAGCUAGUUGGUGGGGUAACGGCUCAUCGCGACGAUCCGUGGCUGGUCGAGAGGGACGACCAGCCACACUGGGACUGAGACACGGCCCAGACUCCUACGGGAGGCAGCAGUGGGGAAUUCUGUGGACAAUGGGGGAAACCCUGAUCCAGCCAUCCCGCGUGUGCGUGAUGAAGGCCUUCUGGCCAGAAAGCACUUUUUGGCAGUGAAAGAAACGGCACGGAUAAUACCCCGUGCAACUGACGGUACCGCAGAAUAAGCACCGGUUAACUACGCCAGCAGCCGCGGUAAUACGUAGGGUGCAAGCGUUAAUCAUGGAAAUUACUGGGCGCAGCGGCAGGCGGUUCGGAAAGAAAGAUGUGAAAUCCCAGAGCUUAACUUUGAACUGCAUUUUUAACUACCGAGCUAGAGGUGGGGUCAGGAGGGAGGUGGAAUUCCGCGUGUGGCAGGAAAUGCAGAUAUGGAGGAACACCGAUGGCGAAGGCAGCCUCCUGGGAUAACACUGACGCUCAUGUACGAAAGCGUGGGGAGCAAACAGGAGUUAUCAUUAUUAGAUAAUUCUGGUAAAUCACGCCCGGAAACGAUGUCAACUAGCUGUUGGGGCCUUCGCCUUGUAGCAGCUAACGCGUGAAGUUGACCGCCUGGGGAGCAUGGUCGCAAGAUUAAAACUCAAGAAUUAGAUUUGUGACUGCACAAGGGUGAUGAUGUGGAUUAAUCUGAUGCAACGCGAAAAACCUACCUACCCUUGACAUGUCUAAAUCCCGGUGAAGCAGAUUGGGAGUGCUCGCAGAACCGAACACAGGUGCUGCAUGGCUGUCGUCAGCCCGUCGUGAGAUGUUGCUGUCUCGCAACGAGCGCAACCUUGUCAUUAGUUGCUACGAAAGGGCACUCUAAUGAGACUGGUGACAAACCUGGAGGAAGGUGGGGAUGACGUCAAGUCCUCAUGGCCCUUAUGGGUAGGGCUUCACACGUCAUACAAUGGUCGGGACAGAAGGUCGCCAACCCGCGAGGGGGAGCCAAUCCCAGAAACCCGAUCGUAGUCCGGAUCGCAGUUCGCAACUCGACUGCGUGAAGUCGGAAUCGCUAGUAAUCGCGGAUCACGUCGCGGUGAAUACGUUCCCGGGUCUUGUACACCAGUCUGCUCAGAAUUGGGGAGUGGGUUUACUUAGCGUAGUUAGCCUAACCGUAAGGAGGGCGAUUACCACGGUAGGAUUCAUGACUGGGGUGAAGUCGUAACAAACGCAGCUCUGUUACUAGCAAUAAUACGUAAAUCAACGAAGCAUAAAU